CCUACGGGGUGCAGCAGUGGGGAAUAUUGCACAAUGGGGGGAACCCUGAUGCAGCGACGCCGCGUGAGUGAAGAAGUAUUUCGGUAUGUAAAGCUCUGUCAGCAGGGAAGAAGAAAGACGGUACCUGACCAAGAAGCCCCGGCUAACUACGUGCCAGCAGCCGCGGGAAUACGUAGGGCGCAAGCGUUAACCGGAUUUACUGGGUGGAAAGGGAGCGUAGACGGCAGGGCAAGUCUGGUGUGAAAUGCAGGGGCCCAACCCCUUGACUGCUCUGGACACUGUCCGGCUGGAGUGCAGGAGAGGUAAGUGGAAUGCCUAGUGUAGCGGUGAAAUGCGUAGAUAUGACGAAGAACCCCGAUUGCGAAGGCAGCUUGCUGCAGCGGAACUGACGCUGAUGCUCGAAAGCGCGGGUAUCGAACAGGAUUAGAUACCCCAGUAGUC
rnacentral:rRNA from 1 species